AAUGAGCGCCUCAUGCCAGCCCGUUUGGACCGCAUAGAUGACAUCAACCAUGAGAGGAAGAAGCAAAAACUCACGACUGGGUCACAAUUCAGCACCACAUCAGGGGUGAUGGAGGAAGACACGUUCAUGGAAACACAUUUAUUUGAGACAGGCCUAACAUGUCGUCUUUAGGAAAGCAUCUACAGUCCUCGAGUGAAAGUGAAAUGUGCUGAAAAUAAAAGGUGUGCAUUGUAUCCUGAGAAGGUACCCAUCCAGACAGUCCAGCAACUCCUCUGUGAGACAGAUGUACAGCAGCAAGGCCAGAAAAGAUGAGUAAUGCCUCCACAGGCUCCUGAAAAUUCACCAAGGGUGCGGCCUGCAACAAAUCCACCAGGCACAGAAGGCAGAGUGCAUCAUGGGCCACACCGUAUCUCCUGGGAGGCUGCUGCUUGAACCGUAAAAUUAGCCACUCAUCAUCAUGAAAUGUUACAACAUUCUGUUGAAUAAAGGAAUUAGGACAAUAGAUUUUUUUUAUUGCCCCUCCUCUUGAACUUCUACAUGUAGUGUUUAUCAUACACUCUCUACAACUGAAAAAAUCCACUGAUUUUGUUAAUUACAGCAAUAGA